GAUGAGGGUCCUGUGAUCUCAGUUGGAGGCUGCACAUGAAAUGGGAGGAGAGAGCUGUGAGCCCAGGAAGCCAGCGAUGGGAGACUGUAAUGAGGAUGUGGUAUAUCUUAGCAAUGUUUCUGUGUGGGCUGAGGAGAAUGUGGAAGAAUCUUCGGGAACGUGAGUGAACAUCUUGGAAUCCCUGCACAGACUGCUCAUCUGAAAGCUAGCCUUCUCCGGGUACAACACAACCUGCUAUUGAUCUGUACGGAAACUGGAAGAGCUUCUGCCAAGAGGAUUCUGAUAAGUAAUUGUCGUCCCACCACCUCUAUUAAGUUUUAAUACGUUUGCUAAUAGAUGUAAGGAUUAGCUCAACCUUAACAGUUAAGUCUGUGCGGGAGCUGCUGGCUA
rnacentral:lncRNA from 1 species